UCGUUCUUUGUUUGGAUUCAGAUAAGGGCAUUUUCAAGUUUCUUGAGAUCACGGUGGAGGCCGGCCAAUUCUGUUUCCACCCGAGGAUCCAUCAUCUCUGUCCCUGGUCUCUUGCGCACGUCAGCUGGCGAGAACUCAGACGGGGCAGGCGCAAGGUAGUCUACCCUGGUGCUCACUGAGCACCGAAUACAGAGGUGGGGGCAGGCCUGGGCCCUGCCCUUGUCCAAGGUGUGGACGGAAUGGGAGAGGCCCUUCAGAGUUGGAUACGGGAAAAGAGGCUGGGAGAAGGUUACUUCCAUUGUUCAUGUAAACCAGGUCAAGGUAACCGAUUGUUGCGAGGCUGUUUUAUAUCCGUGUAUUUCAUCAGUCCUCGUGGAUGGACGCUAGGCCUCCUUUGUUCUGAAUGAUAGAGGAACAUGCUGGAAGAGAGAAAGUUCCCUGAAAAGUGGCUAACAUAACUAUACCGAGAUAGCCAUUAAAAUCGACACGGAAUGCCUGAAUAGAUGCUGCACCGUUUCCAGAAAGUUGCCCUUUCUGAUUCUGACGACCAAAGCCUGCCCAUCAAACAGCGGCACCGACAGGGAAAACGCACGGCUGUCUAGAACGAUCGUUGUAGUUUAC
rnacentral:lncRNA from 1 species